UACGGCUAUAUGACGUUGAAGUACCGGUUAUCAUCUGAUCACCGAAGUUAAACAACGCUGAAUCUGGUCAGUAGCUAGAUGGGUGACCGCACAGGAACAUCAGAUGCUGUAAG